rnacentral:rRNA from 1 species
UACGUAGGGUGCAAGCGUUGUCCGGAAUUAUUGGGCGUAAAGAGCUCGUAGGCGGUUUGUCGCGUCGAAUGUGAAAACCCCGGGGCUCAACCCCGGGCCUGCAUUCGAUACGGGCAGACUAGAGUUCGGUAGGGGAGUCUGGAAUUCCUGGUGUAGCGGUGAAAUGCGCGAUAUCAGGAGGAACACCGGUGGCGAAGGCGGGUCUCUGGGCAAUA